CUUCUGGAAUGCUUACCCAUUUAGAGCGGAAUUCACCUGUUAAAGAUUAAUUCCGAUCUCCCGAGAUACUUACGGCCCUGGGCCCCGCAGCUAGUGCUUGGAGCACCAGGGCCUUGACUCGACUUGUACAGUUCGCACAACGACCCGGUUAAGAUCCCCAUGGACAGGGGAGGAAGGCAAGGCACAGAGAGGCUAAGUCACUUGCUCAAGGUA
rnacentral:lncRNA from 1 species